GACGUAGGUGGCAAGCGUUGUUCGGAAUCACUGGGCAUAAAGCGCACGUAGGCGGCCAAGUAAGUCAGGUGUGAAAUACCUCGGCUCAACCGAGGAACUGCGCCUGAUACUGCUUGGCUUGAGGUCCGGAGGGGAGAGUGGAAUUCCCGGUGGAGCGGUGAAAUGCGUAGAGAUCGGGAAGAACGCCGGCGGCGAAAGCGACUCUCUGGUCGGAAUCUGACGCUGAGGUGCGAAAGCUAGGGGAGCAAACGGGAUUAGAAACCCGCGUAGUCC
rnacentral:rRNA from 1 species